UACGAAGGGGGCUAGCGUUGUUCGGAAUUACUGGGCGUAAAGGGCGCGUAGGCGGUACUUCAAGUCAGGCGUGAAAGCCCCGGGCUCAACCUGGGAACCGCGCUUGAGACUGGAGAACUAGAGUUCGGGAGAGGAUGGUGGAAUUCCCAGUGUAGAGGUGAAAUUCGUAGAUAUUCGGAAGAACACCAGUGGCGAAGGCGACUCACUGGACACGUAUUGACGCUGAGGUGCGAAAGCGUGGGGAGCAAACAGG
rnacentral:rRNA from 1 species